rnacentral:other from 1 species
UACUUGCUGCCCGGCGCGUGAGGACACUUAUUUUCCGGGGCCUUACGAUUCUUAAGGGAGCUGUCCCUGACCUCGCCCGUGGGCCUGGUCAUACGGCGCCCACCUAUACUUUAGGUUCCCAAGGAUCAUCUGUUGUCCCACGGUCGUGGCGGCGUUUUG